AAAAAGGCAAACCCUGGGUUUCCGUGUCCACCUUUAACUGUCCGUCUUAUAUGAAUUUUUUUAUAAUUCGUAUUUUCAUUGUUGUUAGAUGAUAAAACAUGAUUAAUAUUUUAUGCGUGACUUGUCUUUUUAAUUUUUUUCAUAAUUUUUUCAAAUAAGACAGGGCACGGAAACCAGAGUUUGUCUUUUUU
rfam:Oryza sativa Japonica Group DNA, chromosome 7, cultivar: Nipponbare, complete sequence.